rnacentral:rRNA from 1 species
GACGAACGCUGGCGGCGUGCCUAAUACAUGCAAGUAGAACGCUGAAGGAGGAGCUUGCUUCUCUGGAUGAGUUGCGAACGGGUGAGUAAUGCGUAGGUAACCUGCCUGGUAGCGGGGGAUAACUAUUGGAAACGAUAGCUAAUACCGCAUAAGAGUAGAUGUUGCAUGACAUUUGCUUAAAAGGUGCAAUUGCAUCACUACCAGAUGGACCUGCGUUGUAUUAGCUAGUUGGUGGGGUAACGGCUUACCAAGGCGACGAUACAUAGCCGACCUGAGAGGGUGAUCGGCCACACUGGGACUGAGACACGGCCCAGACUCCUACGGGAGGCAGCAGUAGGGAAUCUUCGGCAAUGGACGGAAGUCUGACCGAGCAACGCCGCGUGAGUGAAGAAGGUUUUCGGAUCGUAAAGCUCUGUUGUAAGAGAAGAACGAGUGUGAGAGUGGAAAGUUCACACUGUGACGGUAUCUUACCAGAAAGGGACGGCUAACUACGUG